rnacentral:rRNA from 1 species
CAGCCGCCGCGGUAACACGGAGGGAGCUAGCGUUGUUCGGAAUUACUGGGCGUAAAGCGCACGUAGGCGGUUAUUCAAGUCAGAGGUGAAAGCCCGGGGCUCAACCCCGGAACUGCCUUUGAAACUAGAUGACUGGAAUCUUGGAGAGGUCAGUGGAAUUCCGAGUGUAGAGGUGAAAUUCGUAGAUAUUCGGAAGAGCACCAGUGGCGAAGGCGACUGACUGGACAAGUAUUGACGCUGCGGUGCGAAAGCGUGGGGAGCAAACAGGAUUAGAUACCCCGGUAGUCCCUGUCUCUUAUAC